AACUUUACCAACAUGUCCUCUCUUACUCAUCUGGGAAUUGACUUAGGUAUUAGAGCCUCGAUCUUGGAAUCCCCUCUGGAAUAGUUUUUUAUCCAUGUUUUGUAGAGCAAGAAUCUCCAAGAAGAAAAACCGUCAAAGCAACAUCUAUGCUGGCGACUGAGAGAACUCUGACCAGAAAGCCACAUUUUCCAUUUUUCUCUCUCCCAAUGUUUAAAUAAGCCCCCCAUUGGUAAACUCAGGUCCAGUUAGAGGAAGCACAGAUCCCAAUAUUGGGUUUGGCAUCUAAGCCUAGGGAGUAUUUGGCAGUAAUAUAGUCCCACAUCGUUAAGCGCAAAUAUUUUUCCCACCUCAUGAAAUAAGAGUUUCAAAGGAUUACCGUCUCUUCGGAGACAUCCGAUAAAAUUGGAACGAUACAGAGAAGAUUAGCAUGGCCCCUGCGCAAGGAUGACACGCACAAAUCGAGAAAUGGUCCAAAUUUUUUUGAUAAUUUUUCCUUGGCUUAAUCUUCCUAAUUUUUCUUUUUCUGUUCUUUGCUUGUCUGUUCAUCUUCUUUCGAAGUUUGAAUCAUUCAGUUCUCCGUAAAUUUAUUCCGUCCUUGAAGAUCCCUUAUGCUGAGGUUUAAACUUUAUUCGGUUUCUCUUGCUUUCAGUUGUGGGGCUUGUAAAUCUGGGUAUGGAAAUCCAACUGUGGUGGAUGAAAUAUUUGAUGUAGCCUUGUCCAAGAAUUGAGAAGGUAAUUUGUGUAUAUACGGUUCCUCUAUAGGUUCGAGUUGAAAUAGAUUUAAAUAUUAGUGCAUAUCUGGCAAGAAUUAGUCUUACAAGAACUUGGAUAGAAGUUUUGAUCAAACAUGAAUGAGCAAAAUAGUGAUAGUUUUUACCAUUUUCUUGUGAAUUUGUUUCUUUAGUAUUUCCUGGAAAAAAAAAAAAAAAAUCUUUGGAAGUGGAGCCUGUAAUCAGUCAACAAUAGAAUUUUCUGAAAUUGGAGGUUUCUGGUUCACUUUGUGUCUUCAAUCAUUGCAUUCAAGGUGCACGAUGUGCUUUCUAGAGUUUUGAGCUUCAGAGUGAAGGUUUGCUUGCUCUAUAGCUUUUUAAUGAGGAAUAUCUAGAUGAAUAGAUAUGAUGCUAUCAAAAAAUUACAGGUAUAAUGGCCAAGAAGAAUCAAAGAAAGGAAAACUUUAUUGCUUCUUAAAAUUGAUAUGAAAAUGAUAUUGCCACAUAUUUAUUUCUAUUGAGCAAAUCCUAAGCCCUAUUUCCACAUAUUUGUUUCUAUUGCAGCUGCAGCCAUGGGACCUUUUUUUAUCAUUUUUUUUUUUUGGUGGGGAGAAGCUCCGCAUCUGUGCGAGGCAGGGAAGGGUAUCUGACUGAAGUUUUAUCAAUGAGACAAUGACUAAUGAACAAGGCUGAAAAUGUCAACAAGCCAAUGAGAGGCUUUGUGACAAUACAAGGGAGAUUGGAUAUUGAUAGUAGCUUCACUGCCUCAAAUAAUUCACCCUAUUCCAGGUGGACCUGGCUUGCCAAGAUAAGGACAAGUGAAAUUGAGUUUUAAUUUGUGUGAGGGGACUCCCAAUUAGUCAUUUAUUGGAUUCAGAACCAGGAGGGAGGCUUGUGGAGAUAAAUCUAGAGCUUUAUCUUCUCAAGGAGAGUUCACCUUUACUUGAAGGAGGAGAGUGGCGAACUCAAAUAGUGGGUAAACUUGCUUUGAGAGGGAGUGAAAUGGGGUGGCAGGGUGGAAGUUGGAUUUCACCUUUACUGAAUUUCUUUCCUCUAUCAAAAGAUAUCGACGGAUAAUUGCUUGGGACUAUUUUCUUGGUACGAUAUGUGGUGCUAUAUCUUUCUUAGGUGAGACCAUCUAAAGAUGUUGCUUACUCCCAUUUUUAUGAAGCAUUCCAUAUUUGUUUCUUCCUGCUGAAAAUGUCAAAGUUGUGUCAAAAAGGAGAACUUAAGCAGGCGGAAUUUACACUCUUGAGUAGCUUUGUCAAAAUGCCAAGGAAAAUCAGUACGAUGGCUGUCACACAAAAACCUAUAUAACAGAACACCAGAAUGGACUUCUCUCUUCUACUUGUUCUUUGCUGCUGUUAGGUCUGGUAGUUAUAGAAGCACCUUUCCAAGACUCAUGGACAAAUUGUGCAAGUCCACUCUAAACUCAUGUUCUUCAUGAAUUAAAAUAUGGUCAUACCAAAAUCCAUGCUCUUUGAGUUUGGCUCACCUAAUUUCUCAACAAUUUAUCAUUGUGGAUGGUGACUCUUCGACUACAGCUUGGAUACUUGCCAGUUCCAGUGAGCCAUGAAGGCUUGGUCUGUAAUCUGAAAUUCUUUUAGGAGAUAACUGUGAAAGGUGCAAGAAGGAUGACUUUUUAUUGUGUUGAAGAAUGCAGCUGAGAAGGACGAGAAGAAGAGGAAACAGAAGAGUUAGCUGACCCAAGUUUAGCUUGUUUGGGAGACUUGAGCUUUAAGUGCUUAAAUAGUAGGAGUUUAACUGAUCCAAUUUUAGCUUGUGAUGACAAUAGUUUUUUUUUUUUUUUGGAUUAUCCUCACAUGUAUGGUCUUAAUGAAAAUGUAUCCAGUUUGAGGGUUGGUGGUUAAUCAGUAGGGAUACAGCUUCUACUUCUUGAUGUCGAUUGAUUUGGGAUCCCUCAUCUUAAAUAUAUUGGCCUACAGGCCUAGUUCCUUCA